GCCUAACAUACGGGUAAUCAGAGUUCCUGAAUUUGUGAGGGGAAGGAUGCACUGGAUAAAAUAUUUGAAGAAAUAAUGGCCCAAAAUUUAAGAGGAAUGAUAAACCUACAGAUCCGAGAAACUCAAUAAAGCCUAGGUGGGAUAAACACAGAAAAGAACAUACCAAGACACGUCAUAAUCAUAUUCCUCAAAGCCUGAGAUAAAGAGAAAAGUCUUAAAAGUAGCCAUAGGAAAAAAGAUAGAAGCAGGGGAAGAAAGGUAAUCAAACACAAACUUUUCUUCAGAAAUUAUGCAAGCCUUAUGGCAAUGUCUUAUGAAAAUUGAAUGGUUCCUUUAAAGUGUUGAAAGAAAAAAGUUCUCAACCAAAAACUACAUACUCAGCAAAAAUAUCUUUCAAAACUGGAAGUGAAUCAGUGAGUCAGGAGUUCGAGGCCAGUCUGACCAACAUGGAGAAACCCCGUCUCUACUAAAAAUACAAAAUUAGCUAGGUGUGGUGGCACAUGCCUGUAAUCCCAGCUACUUGGGAGGCUGAGGCAGGAGACUUGCUUGAACCUGGAGGGCGGAGGUUGCAGUGAGCCAAGAUUAUGCCAUUGCACUGCAGCCUGGGCAACAAGAGUGAAACUCUGUCUCAAAAAAAAAAAAAGAAUAAUUAUAUAGACCAAUAGAAUGGAAGAGAGAGUUGAGAAAUAUACCUACAUUUACAUGGUCAAUUGACUUUUGUCAAUAGCAUGGUAAAUCCUGGGGGAAAACAAAUGGUGCUGGAACAAUUGAAUAGUCACAUAAAUAAACUUGGAAUUUUACCUCCACUUAUUCAAAAAUUUACUUGAAAUGGACCAUGGUCUUAACAUAAGUGCUAAAAAACUAUACAUCUCUGGAUGUAAA
rnacentral:lncRNA from 1 species